ensembl:lncRNA
CUUACCUUCUGGGACCCCCUCUCUGACCUGAUAGAAGUUGUUUAAACACAAUUACGGUAUUUAAAUAACACCUCAUGAACAGUAUUCAUAGAAUUAUAUAUUGUUUUAAAUUGAAAGAAACUUUAAUGAUCAUCCAGUCCCAACCUCAUGCUGUGGACAGGGCUGCCACCCACCAGCUGAGGCUCCCCGCAGCUCAUCCAGACUGGCCUUGAAUGCCUCCAGGGUUAGGGUAUCCAGAACUUCUCUGGGCAACCUGUUACAGUGCCUCACAGCCUUCUGAGUAAAGAAUUUCUUCCUUGAAUCUUCAAAUUUGGAGGUAAUCAUGAAUUUAAGCACAAGAAAAUUCUCGUGUAGAGAUGGAUCAUUAAAAAGUUUGGCUGAAGAUCUGGCCCGGAGCCAACAGUGCAUGGAUAAGAGGACUGAAGAGCUCUCUACAAUUCACAUCACUCACUCCAGCCGUGCAUCUAGGCAGCACUCUGAACUGCUUGCUGUAAAUUACACACCUGGAGUACUGUUCCACUCUGAUAAGCUCUGCCCUCUCCCCUUCUCAGCUUUGUGGAAGAGGUACAGUUAAUCCAACUGAACGAUUGCAAGUGAUGCUUAUUAUUCGGCAGAUCUUGAUUUGCAAUGCACUGAGCCAUCUAUCUUUUGCUGCAGCUACAAGAAUAACGUGCUAUGGAAUCUAUCACAGCCCAACAAUUCCACAAUUGAUUUGCUGGCAGCUGAGCCCUGGGGCUUGGAAUGUAAAUAAGACUCAGAAUAAAAGUGACGUGCACUGCAGCAGUUGACAGUGAGUGCAG